rnacentral:rRNA from 1 species
CAUCGGGCUGCUCGUGUGCGCGUGGCUGCGCGGUGGAGUUGCUGGGCAUAGCCCGCGCGGCUUGUGGGCGCAGGGGCGGCGCGGCCCGUGCGGCUUGCGAGCACUGGUGGCAGCAUGGCGGCGCGGCCGCGCGCGUCGCUGCCGUGAGAUGCUGCGGGAGGACGCGGGCUCCCCCUGGAGGACGCGGGCUCCCCCUGGAGGACGGCCCCUGGCUUGGACGCGGUCGGAUCUGGCGGCUGGGGGUCAGGAGGCGGCUUGGCUGGCGACGGGGUCGGCGUUGCUGCUGACCAUAAACCGUGCGGGAGAAGUGGUGGGAGACGAAUGGCACCCUUGCUCGGUGUUGCAUCCUCCUGAUGGUGGUUCGGAAAGCUUGAUGCUGCUGCGGGUGAGAGAACAAGAUGGGUGAUGGCUGGAGGGAGAGGAAUGGCGUCGUGGUGGUUGUUGCAUCCUUCGUCGGGAGAUGAAUGGCCGGCAGACGUUGCAUCCUCGAGGAGACGAAUGGCGUCCUGCUUGAUUGCAUUCUUUCGAUGGGAGAAGAAUGGCGCCGCUGCGGGAGUUGCAUCCUCCGUCCAGUGGGAGACGCGGAUGCAAGGUGGAAAGCACGUCUUGCUUGCCGGGGAGGUGCGGUUGGCCGUGGAGGCAGGGGUAGUGUUUUGAUGUGUAGGCUGAUCAGAUCCUGGACUCGAGCUGUGUAGGUGAGACGGCCGGCGAAAGUCGUACUCCGGCUGUGUCCGGAGUCGUCGAUGGCGGCGCCUUCUGGCGUCGCUCCCUCGUUGGAGGCAUCGAUGUAGCUGCUCCCACCUUGCUUUUCCUGUCGUGCUCCGGGGGAAAUCUUUAAUCUAGUUUAGAUCAGACGAUGGCGGCGCUAUCUGGCGUCGCGUUCCCUCU